GGAUGCGAUCAUACCAGCACUAAAGCACCGGAUCCUAUCAGAACUCCAAAGUUAAGCGUGCUUGGGCGAGAGUAGUACUAGGAUGGGUGACCUCCUGGGAAGUCCUCGUGUUGCAUUCC
rnacentral:rRNA from 2 species